AAAAAAGCAGGGUCUUAUUGCCUUCUGUGAAUGAGACUCUCGUAAACUUCAGGGAAAUCACGGGCGUCAUUAUUGGGUGAACCUAUGUAUCUUCUUAGUGACUGAAGGUUCAGUAAAUGAUGCCACAUUU
rfam:Corchorus olitorius cultivar O-4 contig17190, whole genome shotgun sequence.